rnacentral:tRNA from 1 species
UUUAAAGUAGUUUAAUUUAAAACAGAACAUUUUCACUGCUCAAAUAAAAAUUUAUUUUUCUUUAAUU